UACCUUUUGUAUAAUGGGUCAGCGACUUAUAUUCUGUAGCAAGGUUAACCGAAUAGGGGAGCCGAAGGGAAACCGAGUCUUAACUGGGCGUUAAGUUGCAGGGUAUAGACCCGAAACCCGGUGAUCUAGCCAUGGGCAGGUUGAAGGUUGGGUAACACUAACUGGAGGACCGAACCGACUAAUGUUGAAAAAUUAGCGGAUGACUUGUGGCUGGGGGUGAAAGGCCAAUCAAACCGGGAGAUAGCUGGUUCUCCCCGAAAGCUAUUUAGGUAGCGCCUCGUGAAUUCAUCUCCGGGGGUAGAGCACUGUUUCGGCAAGGGGGUCAUCCCGACUUACCAACCCGAUGCAAACUGCGAAUACCGGAGAAUGUUAUCACGGGAGACACACGGCGGGUGCUAACGUCCGUCGUGAAGAGGGAAACAACCCAGACCGCCAGCUAAGGUCCCAAAGUCAUGGUUAAGUGGGAAACGAUGUGGGAAGGCCCAGACAGCCAGGAUGUUGGCUUAGAAGCAGCCAUCAUUUAAAGAAAGCGUAAUAGCUCACUGGUCGAGUCGGCCUGCGCGGAAGAUGUAACGGGGCUAAACCAUGCACCGAAGCUGCGGCAGCGACACUGUGUGUUGUUGGGUAGGGGAGCGUUCUGUAAGCCUGUGAAGGUGUGCUGUGAGGCAUGCUGGAGGUAUCAGAAGUGCGAAUGCUGACAUAAGUAACGAUAAAGCGGGUGAAAAGCCCGCUCGCCGGAAGACCAAGGGUUCCUGUCCAACGUUAAUCGGGGCAGGGUGAGUCGACCCCUAAGGCGAGGCCGAAAGGCGUAGUCGAUGGGAAACAGGUUAAUAUUCCUGUACUUGGUGUUACUGCGAAGGGGGGACGGAGAAGGCUAUGUUGGCCGGGCGACGGUUGUCCCGGUUUAAGCGUGUAGGCUGGUUUUCCAGGCAAAUCCGGAAAAUCAAGGCUGAGGCGUGAUGACGAGGCACUACGGUGCUGAAGCAACAAAUGCCCUGCUUCCAGGAAAAGCCUCUAAGCAUCAGGUAACAUCAAAUCGUACCCCAAACCGACACAGGUGGUCAGGUAGAGAAUACCAAGGCGCUUGAGAGAACUCGGGUGAAGGAACUAGGCAAAAUGGUGCCGUAACUUCGGGAGAAGGCACGCUGAUAUGUAGGUGAAGUCCCUCGCGGAUGGAGCUGAAAUCAGUCGAAGAUACCAGCUGGCUGCAACUGUUUAUUAAAAACACAGCACUGUGCAAACACGAAAGUGGACGUAUACGGUGUGACGCCUGCCCGGUGCCGGAAGGUUAAUUGAUGGGGUCAGCGCAAGCGAAGCUCUUGAUCGAAGCCCCGGUAAACGGCGGCCGUAACUAUAACGGUCCUAAGGUAGCGAAAUUCCUUGUCGGGUAAGUUCCGACCUGCACGAAUGGCGUAAUGAUGGCCAGGCUGUCUCCACCCGAGACUCAGUGAAAUUGAACUCGCUGUGAAGAUGCAGUGUACCCGCGGCAAGACGGAAAGACCCCGUGAACCUUUACUAUAGCUUGACACUGAACAUUGAGCCUUGAUGUGUAGGAUAGGUGGGAGGCUUUGAAGUGUGGACGCCAGUCUGCAUGGAGCCGACCUUGAAAUACCACCCUUUAAUGUUUGAUGUUCUAACGUGGACCCGUGAUCCGGGUUGCGGACAGUGUCUGGUGGGUAGUUUGACUGGGGCGGUCUCCUCCUAAAGAGUAACGGAGGAGCACGAAGGUUGGCUAAUCCUGGUCGGACAUCAGGAGGUUAGUGCAAUGGCAUAAGCCAGCUUGACUGCGAGCGUGACGGCGCGAGCAGGUGCGAAAGCAGGUCAUAGUGAUCCGGUGGUUCUGAAUGGAAGGGCCAUCGCUCAACGGAUAAAAGGUACUCCGGGGAUAACAGGCUGAUACCGCCCAAGAGUUCAUAUCGACGGCGGUGUUUGGCACCUCGAUGUCGGCUCAUCACAUCCUGGGGCUGAAGUAGGUCCCAAGGGUAUGGCUGUUCGCCAUUUAAAGUGGUACGCGAGCUGGGUUUAGAACGUCGUGAGACAGUUCGGUCCCUAUCUGCCGUGGGCGCUGGAGAACUGAGGGGGGCUGCUCCUAGUACGAGAGGACCGGAGUGGACGCAUCACUGGUGUUCGGGUUGUCAUGCCAAUGGCACUGCCCGGUAGCUAAAUGCGGAAGAGAUAAGUGCUGAAAGCAUCUAAGCACGAAACUUGCCCCGAGAUGAGUUCUCCCUGACCCUUUAAGGGUCCUGAAGGAACGUUGAAGACGACGACGUUGAUAGGCCGGGUGUGUAAGCGCAGCGAUGCGUUGAGCUAACCGGUACUAAUGAACCGUGAGGCUUAACCUUACAACGCCGAAGGUGUUU
rnacentral:rRNA from 1 species